CCUUCGGCUCCAGGCCCCAGUUUCCUCACGCCUCCACGACCUACCGGUCUCAAGACCGCACCCCAUUUUCCCGCGGUUCCUUCAGAGGCAGAGGUUCCUCCACCUACCGAGGGAAGACUUCGGCAGGCCGUUCUGCUACUCUUUGAGUAUCCCGGAUCCAAGGUCCUGUUUACCGGCGGAUUUCCUGUUGGUUCUGCGGUUUCUGUUCCUAUCUCCGGCUGUUCGGUGGUUUGCCCUUCCUGUUCGGCAUCACCGCAAAGAAAGAGGAGGAGUUGCUAGAUGUUGGGACUGAUAUAGAGUCAUGUCUGUUUUGAUUGGUUCUUUUAUGAUGGUUGUUAACUCCUUUGCUGCUGGAGGUUAUUCAGUAAAGAAGGUUAUGCAAAA